rnacentral:rRNA from 1 species
GAGUUUGAUCCUGGCUCAGGUUGAACGCUGGCGGCAGGCCUAACACAUGCAAGUCGAGCGGUAGAGAGAAGCUUGCUUCUCUUGAGAGCGGGCGGACGGGUGAGUAAUGCCUAGGAAUCUGCCUGGUAGUGGGGGAUAACGCUCGGAAACGGACGCUAAUACCGCAUACGUCCUACGGGAGAAAGCAGGGGACCUUCGGGCCUUGCGCUAUCAGAUGAGCCUAGGUCGGAUUAGCUAGUUGGUGAGGUAAUGGCUCACCAAGGCGACGAUCCGUAACUGGUCUGAGAGGAUGAUCAGUCACACUGGAACUGAGACACGGUCCAGACUCCUACGGGAGGCAGCAGUGGGAUAUGGACAAUGGGCGAAAGCCUGAUCCAGCCAUGCCGCGUGUGUGAAGAAGGUCUUCGGAUUGUAAAGCACUUUAAGUUGGGAGGAAGGGCAGUAAUUAAUACUUGCUGUUUGACGUUACCGACAGAAUAAGC